rnacentral:rRNA from 1 species
UACGGGGGGGGGCAAGCGUUGUUCGGAAUUACUGGGCGUAAAGGGCUCGUAGGUGGCCAACUAAGUCAGACGUGAAAUCCCUCGGCUUAACCGGGGAACUGCGUCUGAUACUGGAUGGCUUGAGAUUGGGAGAGGGACGCGGAAUUCCAGGUGUAGCGGUGAAAUGCGCAGAUAUCAGGAGGAACACCGGUGGCGAAGGCGGGUCUCUGGGCCGAUACUGACGCUGAGGAGCGAAAGCGUGGGGAGCGAACAGG